CUGGGCCCCCAGGGCCAGAGCCCCCGUGCUGUGAGGAGAGGCUGCGAGAGCUGGGGCUGCUCGGCCUGGAGCAGAGGAGGCUCCGGGGGAGCUCCCCCAUGGCCGUCAGUACCCGCAGGGAGGUGCGGAGAGGCCGGAGCCGGGCUCUGCUCAGCGGUGCCCAGGGCCAGGCCCAGAGGCCCCGGGCCCAGCCUGGAGCCCCGGCGGCUCCCCCUGCCCCUCAGGCAGCACUGCUGGGCUGGGAGGGU